rnacentral:rRNA from 1 species
UACGUAGGGUGCGAGCGUUAAUCGGAAUUACUGGGCGUAAAGCGUGCGCAGGCGGUUUUGUAAGCCAGAUGUGAAAUCCCCGGGCUUAACCUGGGAAUGGCAUUUGGGACUGCAAGGCUUGAGUUUGGCAGAGGAGACUGGAAUUCCUGGUGUAGCAGUGAAAUGCGUAGAUAUCAGGAGGAAUACCGAUGGCGAAGGCAGGUCUCUGGGCUAGAACUGACGCUCAUGCACGAAAGCGUGGGGAGCAAACAGGAUUACGAACC